AUUGAACGCUGGCGGCAGGCCUAACACAUGCAAGUCGAACGAGUGGCGGAUGGGUGAGUAAUGUCUGGGAAACUGCCUGAUGGAGGGGGAUAACUACUGGAACCGGUAGCUAAUACCGCAUACCAUCGGAUGUGCCCAGAUGGGAUUAGCUAGUAGGUGGGGUAACGGCUUACCUAGGAGAAGAUCCCUAGCUGGUCUGAGAGGAUGACCGGCCACACUGUAACUGAGACACGGUCCAGACUCCUACGAGAGGCAGCAGUGGGGAAUAUUGCACAAUGGGCGCAAGCCUGAUGCAGCCAUGCCGCGUGUAUGAAGAAGGCCGUCGGGUUGUAAAGUACUUUCAGCGGGGAGGCGUUACCCGCAGAAGAAGCACCGGCUAACUCCGUGCCAGCAGCCGCGGUAAUUC
rnacentral:rRNA from 1 species